CCGGUAAGUCGGGUGAUUGCCAGGCACAAUUCUGCGCCUGGAGGAAAGUCCGAACUUCCAACCCCGACGUAUUGUCGGGGUGCAGGUAGCGGGUAACGCCCGUCGUCCGCAAGGAUAGAGAUGCGAACAGUGACGAUUCUUCGCCGCAAGGCGAAGAGUGAAACGGCUAAAUUCUUACCCGGAAGCAAGAGCAAACCGGAAGUUUCGGGAUUCAUCUUGGAACUUUCGUUAAAAGUAGCUCGCUUGAUCCCUUCUCGUAAGAGAUGGGGCAGAUAGAUAAUCAUCAUCCGCCGAUGAGGCGGAACAGAAUUCGGCUUACAGACUUGCCGGGACA
rnacentral:RNase_P_RNA from 1 species